CCUANGGGUGGCAGCAGUAGGGAAUAUUGGACAAUGGCUGAAAAGCUGAUCCAGCCAUCCCGCGUGAAGGCAGAAGGUCCUUUGGAUUGUAAACUUCUUUUCUCUGGGAAGAAAUCACGGGUUUCUACCUGUGUUGACGGUACCAGAGGAAUAAGCACCGGCUAACUCCGUGCCAGCAGCCGCGGUAAUACGGAGGGUGCAAGCGUUAUCCGGAUUCACUGGGUUUAAAGGGUGCGUAGGCGGGCUUGUAAGUCAGUGGUGAAAGCCCGGGGCUCAACUCCGGAACUGCCAUUGAUACUGCAGGCCUUGAGUACAGUUGAGGUGGGCGGAAUACAUCAUGUAGAGGUGAAAUUCUUAGAUAUGAUGUAGAACACCGAUUGCGAAGGCAGCUCACUAAAGUGUAACUGACGCUGAGGCACGAAAGCGUGGGGAUCAAACAGGAUUAGAUACCCGGNUAGUC
rnacentral:rRNA from 1 species